UGAAUACGAAAUGCUACGGCAUUGAAGUGAUCUAUGCCAUGCUUCCAAGAAAGUCUCGGCAUAUCUUAAAUAAUAAAUGCCUGUACCUUAAACCGACGCAGGUAGGUAGGUAGAGCAUACCAAGGGGCGCGAGAUAACUCUCUCUAAGGAACUCGGCAAAAUAACCUCGUAACUUCGGAAGAAGAGGUACCCUUGCAAAAGGGUUGCAAUAACCAGACCCUGGCGACUGUUUACCAAAAACACAGGUCUCCGCUAAUUCGUAAGAUCAAGUAUGGAGGCUGAUGCCUGCCCAGUGCCGGAAGGUUAAAGAAGUUGGUCAAUCUUUGGAUGAAGCUGGCGACUGAAGCCCCGGUGAACGGCGGCCGUAACGAUAACGGUCCUAAGGUAGCGAAGUUCCUUGUCGGGUAAGUUCCGACCCGCACGAAAGGCGUAACGAUCAGGGUGCUGUCUCGGAGAGAGACUCGGCGAAAUAGACAUGUCUGUGAAGAUGCGGACUACCUGCACCUGGACAGAAAGACCCUAUGAAGCUUUACUGUAUCUUGGAAUUGGGUUUGGGCUUUGCUUGCGCAGGAUAGGUGGGAGGCUAUGAUAGUAUUCUCGUGGGAAUGCUGGAGCCAACGGUGAGAUACCACUCUAGUAAGGCUAAAAUUCUAACUCUGAACCGUUAUCCGGUCAGAGAACAGUUUCAGGUGGGCAGUUUGACUGGGGCGGUCGCCUCCUAAAGGGUAACGGAGGCGCGCAAAGGUUCCCUCAGGCUGGUUGGACAUCAGUCGUAGAGUGUAAAGGCAUAAGGGAGCUUGACUGCGAGACCCACAAGUCGAGCAGAGACGAAAGUCGGCCUUAGUGAUCCGACGGUUCCAAGUGGAAGGGCCGUCGCUCAACGGAUAAAAGUUACUCUAAGGAUAACAGGCUGAUCUCCCCCAAGAGUUCACAUCGACGGGGAGGUUUGGCACCUCGAUGUCGGCUCAUCGCAUCCUGGGGCGGUAGUACGUCCCGAGGGUUGGGCUGUUCGCCCAUGAAAGCGGUACGCGAGCUGGGUUCAGAACGUCGUGAGACAGUUCGGUCCAUAUCCGGUGCAGGCGUUAGAGCAUUGAAAGGAGUCCCCCUUAGUACGAGAGGACCGGGGGGAAUACACCGCUGGUGUACCAGUUAUCGUGCCAACGGUAAACGCUGGGUAGCCAUGUGUAGCGUGGAUAACUGCUGAAAGCAUCUAAGUAGGAAGCCCACCUUAAGAUGAGUGCUCUCACCGCUAUAAGCGGGUAAGGUCACGGUAAGAACAACCGUUAUAUAGGCAUUAAGUAUACGUGCAGUAAUGCAUUUAGCUAAGAUGUACUAACAGACCAAGGGC
rnacentral:rRNA from 1 species